rnacentral:rRNA from 1 species
GGUAAGUUCCGACCUGCACGAAUGGCGUAACGACUUCCCCGCUGUCUCCAACAUCGACUCAGCGAAAUUGAAUUGCCUGUCAAGAUGCAGGCUUCCCGCGGUUAGACGGAAAGACCCCGUGCACCUUUACUACAGCUUCGCACUGGUAUCAGGAUUGUGACGUGCAGGAUAGGUGGUAGACAUUGAAGCCGAGACGCUAGUCUCGGUGGAGUCUCCCUUGAGAUACCACCCUUCGCACUCUUGAUAUCUAACCGCGGUCCAUUAUCUGGAUCCGGGACCCUGCGUGGCGGGUAGUUUGACUGGGGCGGUCGCCUCCCAAA